rnacentral:misc_RNA from 1 species
CUGAAUCCAUUUUUUUUGUUAUUAUAUCAUAUAAAACUAAAUAAAAAUAAAAAUAAAGUAUUUUAACCAAUAAAACAGUGGACUUUCUCAAGUCACUAGAUACUUAUUAUCCAUAAUUUAUACGUAUGACUCUAAACUCAACAGUAUUAGGUAGAUACAACUUUCUAUUUUCUCCAUAAACAAUUUUUUUUUAGCAGGAUUUCAUCCAUAAACAUUAUGUCUAAGAAAAGAAAAUGAUGAUACUUUCUUGUAAAUCUGGUAAGGAGUUGCAUAUUUUGGAAGCAACGUUUAGUCGACCAAUUUCAUGCUGAAAUCCCAUAGUUUCUUAGCCAAUCCAACAUCUCUACCCAUGUCAGUUGCUUUGGCCAAGUUACCAUCUGAAAAAUAUUCACCACUUUUCCCCUUCACUUGUGGAUGCAAUGCCACAUAGCAUGUAGUUGCAGCACCCUGCUGAACAUUUUUAAGCACUAGUCUACCAAGCACAUCAACCACGCCAUUGACGAUCCUCAUAUGACGGAAAAGAUUGGUUAAAAUUGCUCCUGGAUGAAGUGAAUUUGCAGUUAUAUUGACAGCAUCUUCCUGCUUAGCAUAACAACCAAACAUUAUAUUGGCUUCCACUCAAAAUAACAAGACUACUAUAAUCCAGAUACAAUGAUUCAUAUGCAUAUACAAACUCAAAUGGCUGUUAUGCUCACAUACCCACCUGUGGCCAUCUUUAAUGCUAUUAGAGUCAACAGAGGUUGAAGUCACUAUAAGAACAUUUUCAUACAAAGGAAGCAAUGUAAAAACUACUGAGCCAACAAAAGCAUUGGUCUUAUAUGCAUAAUCGUAGUAGGACAAAAUCACAAUCAAUCACAAGUUGAAAUUUGAUCAAUUCUAAUAUGCAGAAACAGAGGCCAGAGGAAGACUUGACAAUUUCUAAUAUGAAACGUUAUUAAAAAAUAUAAUUUGGCCUCAGAAAUUGACAAUUAGCAAUCAAGGAAUUUAUUACCAAAAGUUCUGCAACACUCCUAUUUGUAUAGCCUGAUAUAUUUCACUGUUCCGGUAACCGGUAUCGGUCCGGACAAUUUAGGGGAUUAGAAUCACUUCUAAGACACCUAGUUAAGCCCUGAAUACAAAUAAUUAGUAAUUGCCAAAUAGUUAAGUAUAAAGAAGAAAAACAAAGCAUAAAAAGUUAAAUGAGCCGGGAGUCAGCGAUGGGUGACCUUCCCGUGAAAUGACUGCGAGGUCAGUAUUAACUCAAAUUUUGAACCGACAAAUGUGAUGCUGCUGUCCUUAGGACUAUUGCGAACACA